CCGAGGUGGCGGAAUUGGCAGACGCAGGCGACUUAAAAUCGCCAGUGGUGAUCCCACGUGCGGGUUCGAACCCCGCCCUCGGCA
rnacentral:tRNA from 1 species